CUAGGUGGCCAUGGCGACGGGGCCCACCCCUUUCCAUUCCGAACAGGGAAGUUAAGCCCGUUUGCGCCGAUGGUA
rnacentral:rRNA from 1 species